rnacentral:rRNA from 1 species
GCGCAGCAGGCGCGAAUCCUUCGCAAUGCGGGAAACCGCGACGAGGGGACUCCCAGUGCCUACGCUCAGCGUAGGCUGUUCCCGAGCCUAGAAAGCUCGGGGAGUAAGGGCUGGGUAAGACGGGUGCCAGCCGCCGCGGUAAUACCCGCAGCCCGAGUGGUGGCCACUAUUAUUGGGCCUAAAGCGUCCGUAGCCGGCCCGGUAAAUGCCUGGGUAAAUCGUAAGGCCUAACCUCACGAAUUCCGGGUAGACUGCCGGGCUAGGGACCGGAGGAGGGAGAGGAUACCCCCGAGGGGUAGGGGUGAAAAUCCUGUAAUCCCUGGAGGACCACCGGUGGCGAAGGCGCUCUCCGUAGGACGGGUCCGACGGUGAGGGACGAAAGCCAGGGGA